UUAAUUGAAGCCAAAAUAGAGGCCCUUCAUUGUUAAUGAAAUCAUUGAUUAUUAAAUCCAAUUAAA
rnacentral:tRNA from 1 species